rnacentral:rRNA from 1 species
CGUAGGCGGUUUUGUAAGUCGAAUGUGAAAGCCCCGGGCUUAACCUGGGAAUUGCGUUCGAUACUGCGAAACUAGAGUACGGUAGAGGGAAGUGGAAUUCCGGGUGUAGCGGUGAAAUGCGUAGAUAUCCGGAGGAACACCAGUGGCGAAGGCGACUUCCUGGGCCAGUACUGACGCUGAGGUGCGAAAGCGUGGGGAGCAAACA